UACGUAGGGGGCUAGCGUUGUCCGGAUUUAUUGGGCGUAAAGAGCGUGUAGGCGGCCAGGUAGGUCUGCUGUGAAAACUCGAGGCUCAACCUCGAGACGUCGGCGGAAACCAUCUGGCUAGAGUCCGGAAGAGGAGAGUGGAAUUCCUGGUGUAGCGGUGAAAUGCGCAGAUAUCAGGAAGAACACCAAUGGCGAAGGCAGCUCUCUGGGACGGUACUGACGCUGAGACGCGAAAGCGUGGGGAGUGAACAGG
rnacentral:rRNA from 1 species